CCACAGGAUGAUUAGCCAGCGAAGGAUCGAGAGAGAUAAAAUAAGCAGCCAAACCGGCGACAUGAGGAGAAGCCAUAGAAGUACCAGAAAGGAUCAUAGAAGCCCUGUUAGAUCCAAUCCAAUCAGACAAAAUUAAAGAACCAGGAGCAAAGAUAUCAACGCAAGAUCCAAUAUUGCUAAAAGAAGCAAUUUGAUCGUUCCAAGUAGAAGCACCAACAGUCAUUGCAUUGGAAACUCUGGCUGGAGAGGUACCGCAAGCAUCCUC